UUUCCCAUACUCUUUUAUUUAUUGCAGGAUUUAUUGGGUGGAGAGGAUGGAGUAUAUGGUGGAGUAGAUGAUGAUUGCGAGUGAGUACACAAUAUCUCUUGAUUUAAGAUUGAUUUCAGAAAUUUUGUGACUAGAACCUCUCCACGGCUCUUAUUCGAAUCGCCAAACUUACGAGAUACCUCGAAUAGCUACAGAAAUCUACGCCUGGCAGAAUCACCUAAAUCUCGUAAGACAUACUUUCGCUAACCUUCUUGUUAUAGAACAUCUUUUUCAACUCCGGAGAAAAUCUGCCAUGUGGUUAAAGGGAUAUAAUCAUGUGUCGCUUUUUCUAGGCAACUGCUGCACUGACAGAAGUGAGCACUCAAAGGUGCCAAAUUCGUCUUGCACCACCUAGCAGCAUGAACAAUUUGGAAAAUGCAAGAACCGAAUUUUUAAAUACAAAUUCGCGACUGAUACAGAGUGCGAAUUAAAUGUUCCAGGUAAUCCAGAAUCACUAGGAUUUGGCAUAUCAGUGCUGCACACAAAUAUUUGCAUGAUGGAGUGAUUGAUCCAUGUUGCCUAUAGAUUAGGCAUCAAGAAAUGGAGGGUUGAAACUGAAGAAGAUAAAGGAAGGAAUGGCCCGUAUUGACAUCGUAGGUUCUUUUUCAGAAAGUCAUGGUCAAAUAUACCUCCUUUCCUUACCAUGAUAGAUAGGUAUUCUAGAUGGAUGGAAGUCGUGCCUAUCCCUAAUAUCAAAGCUGAAACUGUGGUCAAAGCUAUCAUGGAAAACUGGAUUUCUAGAUA